GGAGGGUGAUUGGUGAAUGGGAAAGAAAGUAGAAAAUACCCAGGAUGCAAUGUGUUCUUCCAAACCUUGGGCGGCAGGGAUGUCCUGAUAUCUCUCUCUCUUCCAGACGGUAGGAAGGACACAAUGCACUCCCCACACUUAGGAGGCAGGUAUGUCUUCAACUUGCAGACCUGAGGUCAGCAGAGAAAGAAUCUUACAGUAUCUUCCUCAGAAAUAACUGAAAGACACAGACAAAGAGUCACACCAGGCUGUCACCAUAUAUCUGGCACCCAGGAGGAUAGGACGGAUGAUGGAUUGCUGGCAAUGUAUCCCCAUCGAGUUUUAUCUGAGACCAUCACGCCCAGCAGACAGGAGAUGAUGGAUGGGCCACGAUAGCAACUGAGGAAGCAAGUGAGCCAAGGUCAUGAUUACCCAGGAGGAACAUUGCUGCAUGGCGGGAAGAAAACUGCCUCACUUCAUACUUUCAAGACUGAGGUCACAAACCCUAGGUGCAGUGGGGUCUCUUUGUCCGUAAGUGGUUCCAAAAGAGCUGGAUCUGAAGCCUAGGACUGAAGUGUCACACGGUGAAUAGUGCACUUUCCUAGGAAAGUCCUAUUCACUGUUUUCCUGUCCUUUCCAUGGACCUCACCUCACAGCCUGGCUGUGGUAGAUACUGGCCCAAGACUGUUGUCCCUUGCUGUCUCUAGGCUCCUUCAGGUUGCUGUCCAUUCUUAUGUUUACAGGGACAUGUAGGUUCAAUGGCACUUUGGUCUUCCUGAGCUGGUCCCAUGCGUGUCCAUUAUGCAUGGUGGUAUCAUGUAUAAUCAGAAAAGCCUGUGACUGCUCAUUGGAUUUGUGGUCACUGUAUUUCCUUAGACAGAAUUUAAAAAUCUAAGCAAAUCCUGAAGUUGGGUUGCAAAUGAUAAAACAGGAUAAGAAUAACUCCACAAAGAAUACCUAUAGGGUCUGGAUGGAUGACUCAGUCAGUAAAAUGUGUUCCAUACAAGGACCUGAGUUUGGUCCUUAGCAACCAUUUUUAAAGCAAGGCAUGGCAGCACAUGUCUGCAACCCCUGAGCUGGGUUAGUAGAGACAGAAGGAUCCUUGAAACCUGCUGGGCACCAUCUUGCUGAAUCCAUGAGUUCCAGGUUUAGUAAGAGACUCUGUCUCAAAAGAGUAAGGUGAAUGACCUAGGAAGAUACCCAGUGUUGAUCUCUGGUAUCCACAUACAUACAUACAUACAUACAUACAUACAUACAUACAUACAUACAUGUGAACACAGACACAUGCAAAACAGCAGCAGCAGCUGUAGGCAGUAGACAGAACCAAGUACUGAAAAGGGGCUCAGAGAACAUGGCUGGUGAGCUUACAGGUUGGGUCUGAUACAGGGAGAGGAGUCUGCUCUGCAGCCCCAGGGUAUGUGAUAACCUGGGGCUAUCAGUGAGCCUCUCUUUGACCUCACAGAUGGAUCUGUACCUUGGAUCCCAAAGUCUUAGAUAGAUGCCUUCUCUAAUCACACAUGAAGCCCCUUCUGCACACAUGAAGUUCCUUCUAGUUGCUAGCCCUGCUUUCCUAGAAAGAAGCCACUUGGCCUGGAGACCUAAGGACCCACUGUGCUUCUGGAAUCUGGAACUCUCUUGAAGGUCAGCACAGUGACAGGCCAGCAGCACUCUCUUAAAGUACCCAGGAAGCAGAGAGUCGGAGAAUAGAGACAGAGAUCAAACAAAGAUAUAGAGAUAGAUAUAUAAAGAGACAGAGACAUACAGAAGGAGUUAGAGAUCCCAUCUUUAAAAAAUCAGGUGGAAACAUACAUAAAGACAUAGGCAGAGGUGAGGAGACAGAGAGGUACAGACAGAGUGAUGGAGCAUCCCUUAGCUCUCCUUUCAAGCCAUCAUGGGCAAAACUGGUAUUGACAUUAGAAUGCUCAUGACCAGUGGGGCCUUGGGCCUGGCUGGACCUCUGGGACUCACAGAGUUUUGUCAUUGUGAAGGCUCAUCCUCACACAUGUCAUCCUCUCCUGGCCCUGCACUGGCUGUAUGGUGUAGCUCCUCUGCACUUACAGCCAGGUAUUUUGUAAGAUGCCAACAUUAGUUGACUUUGACACUUUGCUUGAUACCUGGUUUGGUAAGAGAGUGGCUCUCAGUGGGAAUUUCUCAUGUGUGCAUCACUCAUUUCAGCUGUAAAAGAAACAAAUUGACUUCAAAUUCAGCUCAACAUUUGGACCCCCACCUUGGCCCCAACACCCAUACACAGGAAGCCUCUGCCUGCCAGGUGGUCAGGGGAUUGUACAUGCCUAUGUUCCUGCACUUUACCAUAUCCUUGUAGAGAGGAAACAGCUUUGAUGGAGGGUAAUUGCCUUGUCAGCUGCCCCCUUUGCCACCUGCUGGAACAUGGCAGUAUAUGGACUAUUCAUGGCUGGGGUUUAUGAUGGGUCUUGUGGUGUCCUGGCUUUCUGGGAAAUAUGCCUCAGCCUGAUGUCUUCAGGUAUAACUGUUUUAUGUCCAGAGUAUUGACACUCCCUCCCCCAGGCCUUGCCUGGCUCCCUAGGGUCCUUCCCAAGCCUCAGGUGACCCUAAGUCUGGCUGCCUUACCAUAAGGGCUAAGUCAAAGUCCCACGUGGCUCAGAGAGGUCAGCUGCUGUCACAACCCUGUCAUGCCUAGCUUAGAGCUUGGAACUGUACUGUCUUCAGUGUCAAUCUCUCUAAUCCCAUGUUCAUUGAAGCCCCAUCUUAAUAUCUGGGUGAGGAGAGGGAGGCACAGAGAGCCUAGCACCACUUCCUUCAACCCUAUGCUUUGUAACCCAUCCUACAGAGGUGCUCACAGCUGCCAUCCCCAGUCAGCUCCCCAGGUCCCAGAGGGGUUAAUUCUCAGGCAGACACUUCCUACCCAUCAGCUAAAGCAGUUUUGCAGAUGGUCUCAGUGUGCCCAAUUGGCCCUCUGACUCAGGAGGAAAACCACUUAAUAAUCUUCCAUUUCUUUCUGACUCUCACCCUCCACCAUUGCAACACCAGUGAACAGAUGCCAGGAAAUUCUGAGGCUGCCUCUCAGUCCGGCGGGUGCUCAGAACUGAGCUGCCUCAUCUGUGUGAGCCUUCUGCCUCUUCUUUGAGCCCCAUUUUUGCAGGUGCGUAACCCCCUGCUUCACUGGAAAGGAGAGCCAGCCUUUGGGAAGCCACCCACUCUUGAGCAGCGCCUCCCAGCAACUUAGCCACGUGUUCGAGUUCCUGAGGAUCGAGCAAGAAGGAAAGCCAGACGGAUGCUUAGCCUAUGAGGGCAGCAGACUUUGAGUCCUGACAGAGAAGGAGAAGAUAGCUCAGUCCAAACCCCUUCCCCCAGGCACAGCAGGGUUAAGUGUCUGUGAGCAGAGAGGGAAUCCCAGGCCGCCUGGAACUUGAGACUUCCCAGCUGAGAGCCAGCUCAAGUGAGCGAGAUGCAGACCCAGACAUGCUACAGCGGGCACCGAGGUUGCGAAUGCAGGCCUUGAGGAUAGCUGCCACCACAGCCCCACAGCAGCCAUGCCACGCUCCAACUCUGGUCAGAAAGGGCCAGACGUGAUCCUCCUGCCAUUUCUCAGAGAUGGAAGCUGAGCUCAUCCACAGGGAAGUCCUCCUCGGGGUCACCCGAGGCCUCCUGACAACCACAUCUGGGCUUCACUGCUCCUUGUCACCAAAGGCAUCUCCAGCCAGGCUGUAUCCUUCAGCUGUUCCUGGAAGGAACCCUUCCUGGCCUUUGGACCUCCCUGAGAGUGUCUGCCCUUUGGGCUAAAGAUAUUCUCAUUGGCCAGGGCCACACCUCCCGGAGUAAAGGGCUAAUUUUCAUGGAA